GCGGCCUUUGUCUCUUCCGCCGGGCUCGGAGCAGCGUCCGCGCUCCGCUGUCGCUCCUGCAGGGGGCCCAGGUGUCUCUGCCGCAGCCCGUGUCACCCGUGACCUGCAGUAUGAAUUCUGUGAUGUCGCCUAAGAGUUGAAGAACAGA